GAGGUGGUACAGCCUAUAGAUUCUACAGUAGGUAAAGGAUGAGGUGGUACAGCCUAUAGAUUCUACAGUAGGUAAAGGAUGAGGUGGUACAGCCCAUAGAUUCUACAGGAGGUAAAGGAUGAGGUGGUACAGCCUAUAGAUUCUACAGUAAGUAAAGGAUGAGGUGGUACAGCCCAUAGAUUCUACAGUAUGUAAAGGAUGAGGUGGUACAGCCUAUAGAUUCUACAGUAGGUAAAGGAGGUAAAGGAUGAGGUGGUACAGCCUAUAGAUUCUACAGAGGUAAAGGAGGAGGUGAUACAGCCUAUAGAUUCUACAGGAGGUAAAGGAGGAGGUGAUACAGCCUAUAGAUUCUACUGGAGGUAAAGGAUGAGGUGGUACAGCCUAUAGAUUCUACAGGAGGUAAAGGAGGUAAAGGAUGAGGUGGUACAGCCUAUAGAUUCUACAGUAGGUAAAGGAGGUAAAGGAUGAGGUGGUACAGCCUAUAGAUUCUACAGUAGGUAAAG
rnacentral:lncRNA from 1 species